rnacentral:rRNA from 1 species
UCAUUAUUCUCCUUAGUAGUAUUAAAAUAAAAAACUCAUACAUAGUGGCGGUCUUAAUAUAUUAGAGAAACUCGCUUAUUAAUCGAUAACACCCGAUAAAUCCCACUAAAUUUAAAAGCUUAUAUACCGCCGUUUCAGAAUUUAUUUUAAAAUAUAAUUCCAUAAAUCUUUAAAUAAAAAAUCAGGUCAAGGUGUAGCAAAUAAUUUAGGUUAAGUAAGUUACACUAAACAUUAUUUAAGGAUAAAAUAAUAAUAUUAUAAUUUGAAAAAGAAUCUAAAUGUACCUUAGAAUUAAUUUCUCGAACUGAAAUACACCAUUAAGACGC